rnacentral:rRNA from 1 species
UACAGAGGUCCCGAGCGUUGUUCGGAUUCAUUGGGCGUAAAGGGUGCGUAGGUGGCGGGGCAAGUCUGAUGUGAAAUCCCGGGGCUCAACCCCGGAACUGCAUUGGAUACUGCCUUGCUUGAGUACUGGAGAGGGAACUGGAAUUUACGGUGUAGCAGUGAAAUGCGUAGAGAUCGUAAGGAAGGCCAGUGGCGAAGGCGAGUUCCUGGACAGUGACUGACGCUGAGGCACGAAGGCCAGGGGAGCAAACGGG